UACGUAGGAGACGAGCGUUGCUCGGAAUUACUGGGCGUAAAGGGCGCGUAGGCGGGUGUUUAAGUCAGAGGUUAAAUCCCAGGGCUCAACCCUGGAACUGCCUUUGAUACUGGGCACCUAGAGUUCGGGAGAGGUGUGUGGAACUCCGAGUGUAGAGGUGAAAUUCGUAGAUAUUCGGAAGAACACCAGUGGCGAAGGCGACACACUGGCCCGAUACUGACGCUGAGGCGCGAAAGCGUGGGGAGCAAACAGG
rnacentral:rRNA from 1 species